GCCAAAUUAAUCCAAACUUGGCCACAAUCAUCUUUGGGGUAUCUAGUUUAAAAAAUGUGUGGCGUGACCUGGUCAACCCACCAAGAUGGCCGCCACCGCUAAAAAUAGAACAUAGGGGUAAAAUGCAGUUUUUGGCUUAUAACUCAAAAACCAAAGCAUUUUGAGGAAAUCUGACAGGGGAUAAAAAUGUUUAUCAGGUCAAGAACUAUCUGCCCUGAAAUUUUCAGAUGAAUCGGUCAAUCGGUUGUUGGGUUGCUGCCCCUGAAUUGGUAAUUUUGAAGAAAUUUUGCUGUUUUUGGUUAUUAUCUUGAAUAUUAUUAUAGUUAGAGAUAAACUGUAAACAGCAAUAAUGUUCAGCAAAG
rnacentral:lncRNA from 1 species